rnacentral:rRNA from 1 species
CAAAGGGCUCACGGAGGAUACCUAGGCACACAGAGGCGAUGAAGGACGUGGUUACCUGCGAUAAGUCUCGGGGAGUUGGAAGCACACUUUGAUCCGGGAAUUUCCGAAUGGGGCAACCCCUUGAACGACCAACUGAAUAUAUAGGUUGGUGCGAGCUAACCCAGCGAACUGAAACAUCUUAGUAGCUGGAGGAAGAGAAAGUAAAUAACGACUCCCUCAGUAGCGGCGAGCGAACGGGGAAUAGCCCAAACCGAUAGUCUUGACUAUCGGGGUUGUGGGACAGCAAUAUGGAUCAACAAUUCUAGAAGAAACGUUUGAAUGGCGUGCCAUAGAGGGUGAAAGCCCCGUAAUCGAAAGAUGAGUUGACCUAGCUGUAUCCCGAGUAGCACGGAGCACGUGGAAUUCCGUGUGAAUCUGCGAGGACCACCUCGUAAGGCUAAGUACUACUGUGUGACCGAUAGUGAAACAGUACCGCGAGGGAAAGGUGAAAAGAACCCCGGGAGGGGAGUGAAAUAGAACAUGAAACCGUGAGCUUACAAGCAAUGGGAGCCCGACUAAUCGGGUGACCGUGUGCCUGUUGAAGAAUGAGCCGGCGACUUAUAGGCACUGGCGGGUUAAACCGGAAAUGGUGGAGCCACAGCGAAAGCGAGUCUUAAUAGGGCGUUUGUCAGUGUUUAUAGACCCGAACCCUGGUGAUCUAACCAUGGCCAGGAUGAAGCUUGGGUGAUACCAAGUGGAGGUCCGAACCGACUGAAGUUGAAAAUUCAGCGGAUGAGCUGUGGUUAGGGGUGAAAUGCCAAUCGAACCAGGAGCUAGCUGGUUCUCCCCGAAAUACGUUGAGGCGUAGCGUCUAGUGCUCCAGCAGGGGGGUAAAGCAACCAUUUCGGUGCGGGCUGCGAAAGCGGUACCAAAUCGAUAUGAACUCUGAAUACCCUGUGUGUAACUAGGCAGUCAGACUGUGGGGGAUAAGCUCCAUAGUCAAGAGGGAAACAGCCCAGACCGCCAGCUAAGGUCCCAAAAUUAACGCUAAGUGAUAAAGGAGGUGGGAUUGCCCAGACAACCAGGAGGUUUGCCUAGAAGCAGCCAUCCUCAAAGGAGUGCGUAAUAGCUCACUGGUCGAGCGAUCCUGCGCCGAAAAUGAAUGGGGCUAAGCGUUAUACCGAAGCUGCGGAUAAAUUUAUUUAUGGUAGGGGAGCGUUCUAUGUUGGGUGAAGCGUUAGCGUAAGCGGACGUGGACGGCAUAGAAGUGAGAAUGUCGGCUUGAGUAGCGAAAACAUGGGUGAGAAUCCCAUGCCCCGAAACCCUAAGGGUUCCUCCGGCAGGCUCGUCCGCGGAGGGUUAGUCUGGACCUAAGGCGAGGCCGAAAGGCGUAGUCGAUGGAUAACAGGUCAAUAUUCCUGUACCAGUUAUGUUUUGGGAAGGGGGACGGAGAAGGCUAGCCAGGCCAGAUGUUGGUUACUGGUUCAAGCGUUCAAGGCUUUGAGAGAUGGAGAAAACAUCUUGAGCUGAGGCGUGAGUACGAGCUGCUACGGCAGCGAAGUUGGUGAUGUCAUGCUUCCAAGAAAAGCCCUAUACCCGUUAAGACAUAAAUGCCAGUACCCGAAACCGACACAGGUGGGGUGGUAGAGAAUACCGAGGGGCGCGAGAUAACUCUCUCUAAGGAACUCGGCAAAAUGGCCCCGUAACUUCGGGAGAAGGGGUGCCAGCGAGAGCUGGUCGCAGUGAAGAGGCGCAAGCGACUGUUUACCAAAAACACAGGUCUCCGCUAAGUCGCAAGACGAUGUAUGGGGGCUGACACCUGCCCAGUGCCGGAAGGUUAAGGAAGCUGGUUAGCUUUUAGCAAAGCUAGCGACUGAAGCCCCGGUGAACGGCGGCCGUAACUAUAACGGUCCUAAGGUAGCGAAAUUCCUUGUCGGGUAAGUUCCGACCCGCACGAAAGGUGUAACGAUUUGCGCGCUGUCUCGGAGAGAGGCUCGGCGAAAUAGAAUUGUCUGUGAAGAUGCGGACUACAUACACCCGGACAGAAAGACCCUAUGAAGCUUUACUGUAGUUUGAUAUUGUGCUCGGGCUCUAAUUGCGCAGAAUAGGUGGGAGACGUUGAAAUAGUACUUGUGGGUAUUAUUGAGUCAUCGGUGAGAUACCACUCUAUUAGAGCUAGGGUUCUAACGCUUACCCGUUAUCCGGGAAGCGGACAGUAUCUGAUGGGCAGUUUGACUGGGGCGGUCGCCUCCUAAAAGGUAACGGAGGCGCACAAAGGUUCCCUCAGGCUGGUUGGAAAUCAGUCGUUGAGUGCAAAAGCAGAAGGGAGCUUGACUGUGAGACCUACAAGUCGAACAGGGACGAAAGUCGGUUUUAGUGAUCCGACGGUUCUGCGUGGAAGGGCCGUCGCUCAACGGAUAAAAGUUACUCUAGGGAUAACAGGCUGAUCUCCCCCAAGAGUUCACAUCGACGGGGAGGUUUGGCACCUCGAUGUCGGCUCAUCGCAACCUGGGGCUGAAGUCGGUCCCAAGGGUUGGGCUGUUCGCCCAUUAAAGCGGUACGCGAGCUGGGUUCAGAACGUCGUGAGACAGUUCGGUCCAUAUCCGGUGUAUGCGCAGGAAUAUUGAGAGGAUUUCUCCCUAGUACGAGAGGACCGGGAGGAACGCACCUCUGGUGUGCCAGUUAUCGUGCCAACGGUAAACGCUGGGUAGCCAUGUGCGGAGUGGAUAACCGCUGAAAGCAUCUAAGUGGGAAGCCCACCUCAAGAUGAGUAUUGCCAUGGCUUAAGCCAGUAAGGUCACGGGAAGAACACCCGUUGAUAGGCUCUACGUGGAAGCUUGGUAACAAGUGCAGCGGAGGAGUACUAAUAGACCGAGGGCUUGACCA